AUCAACAUCCUACAGCUCA
rnacentral:piRNA from 1 species